rnacentral:rRNA from 1 species
UGGGGAAUUUUGGACAAUGGGCGAAAGCCUGAUCCAGCAAUGCCGCGUGUGUGAAGAAGGCCUUCGGGUUGUAAAGCACUUUUGUCCGGAAAGAAAUCCUUGGCUCUAAUACAGUCGGGGGAUGACGGUACCGGAAGAAUAAGCACCGGCUAACUACGUGCCAGCAGCCGCGGUAAUACGUAGGGUGCAAGCGUUAAUCGGAAUUACUGGGCGUAAAGCGUGCGCAGGCGGUUUGCUAAGACCGAUGUGAAAUCCCCGGGCUCAACCUGGGAACUGCAUUGGUGACUGGCAGGCUAGAGUAUGGCAGAGGGGGGUAGAAUUCCACGUGUAGCAGUGAAAUGCGUAGAGAUGUGGAGGAAUACCGAUGGCGAAGGCAGCCCCCUGGGCCAAUACUGACGCUCAUGCACGAAGGCGUGGGGGAGCAAAACAGGAUUAGAUACCCUGGUAGUCCACGCCCUAAACGAUGUCAACUAGUUGUUGGGGAUUCAUUUCCUAGUAACGUAGCUAACGCGUGAAGUUGACCGCCUGGGGAGUACGGUCGCAAGAUUAAAACUUAAAUGAAUUGACGGGGUCAUAGCUGUUUCCCCU